rnacentral:rRNA from 1 species
UGCUGAUAGAUGGGCAUGCGUUCCAUUAGGUAGUUGGAGAGGUAACGGCUCACCAAGCCAACGAUGGAUAGGGGAACUGAGAGGUUGGUCCCCCACACUGGUACUGAGACACGGACCAGACUCCUACGGGAGGCAGCAGUGAGGAAUAUUGGUCAAUGGGCGAGAGCCUGAACCAGCCAAGUCGCGUGAAGGAAGAAGGAUCUAUGGUUCGUAAACUUCUUUUGCAGGGGAAUAAAGUGCAGGACGUGUCCUGUUUUAUAUGUACCCUGAGAAUAAGGAUCGGCUAACUCCGUGCCAGCAGCCGCGGUAAUACGGAGGAUCCGAGCGUUAUCCGGAUUUAUUGGGUUUAAAGGGUGCGUAGGUGGUUUAAUAAGUCAGCGGUGAAAGUUUGCAGCUUAACUGUAAAAAUGCCGUUGAAACUGUUAGACUUGAGUGUAAAUGAGGUAGGCGGAAUGCGUGGUGUAGCGGUGAAAUGCUUAGAUAUCACGCAGAACUCCGAUUGCGAAGGCAGCUUACCAAGCUACAACUGACACUGAAGCACGAAAGCGUGGGGAUCAAACAGGAUUAGAUACCCUGGUAGUCCACGCAGUAAACGAUGAUUACUAGCUGUUUGCGAUACACAGUAAGCGGCACAGCGAAAGCGUUAAGUAAUCCACCUGGGGAGUACGCCGGCAACGGUGAAACUCAAAGGAAUUGACGGAGGCCCGCACAGCCGAAGGAACAUGUGGUUUAAUUCGAUGAUACGCGAGGAACCUAACGCGGGCUUGAAUUGCUUACAAA